rnacentral:rRNA from 1 species
CAAUAGCGUAUAUUAAAGUUGUUGCAGUUAAAAAGCUCGUAGUUGGAUUUCGGGGCAGCCUGGCUGGUCCGCCGCAAGGCGAGUACUGGUCAGCCGCCCUUCCUCUCGAAAGCCCCGACUGCUCUUUACUGUAGCGGUCGGGUAGUUCGGGACGUUUACUUUGAAAAAAUUAGAGUGUUCAAGGCAGGCCUACGCCUGAAUACAUUAGCAUGGAAUAAUGGAAGAGGACCUCGGUCCUAUUUUGUUGGUUUCCAGGGCCGAAGUAAUGAUUAAGAGGGACAGUUGGGGGCAUUCGUAUUUAAUUGUCAGAGGUGAAAUUCUCGGAUUUAUGAAAGACGAACAACUGCGAAAGCAUUUGCCAAGGAUGUUUUCAUUAA